rnacentral:rRNA from 1 species
CCUACGGGAGGCAGCAGUGGGGAAUAUUGGACAAUGGGCGCAAGCCUGAUCCAGCCAUGCCGCGUGUGUGAAGAAGGCCUUCGGGUUGUAAAGCACUUUUAUCCGGAAAGAAAAGCUUUGGGUUAAUACCCUGAAGUCAUGACGGUACCGGAAGAAUAAGCACCGGCUAACUUCGUGCCAGCAGCCGCGGUAAUACGAAGGGUGCAAGCGUUACUCGGAAUUACUGGGCGUAAAGCGUGCGUAGGUGGUUUGUUAAGUCUGAUGUGAAAGCCCUAGGCUCAACCUGGGAAUUGCAUUGGAUACUGGCAGGCUAGAGUGCGGUAGAGGAUAGUGGAAUUCCCGGUGUAGCAGUGAAAUGCGUAGAGAUCGGGAGGAACAUCUGUGGCGAAGGCGACUAUCUGGGCCAGCACUGACACUGAGGCACGAAAGCGUGGGGAGCAAACAGGAUUAGAUACCCUGGUAGUCCACGCCCUAAACGAUGCGAACUGGAUGUUGGGUGCAACUAGGCACUCAGUAUCGAAGCUAACGCGUUAAGUUCGCCGCCUGGGGAGUACGGUCGCAAGCUGAAACUUAAAUGAAUUGAGGCUGAGAGNGCGAGGACGACGACGAGGGAGAGG